CAGCCGCCACGGUAAUACGUAGGGUCCGAGCGUUGUCCGGAAUUAUUGGGCGUAAAGGGCUCGUAGGCGGUUUGUCGCGUCGGGAGUGAAAACCAGGUGCUUAACACCUGGCCUGCUUUCGAUACGGGCAGACUAGAGGCAUUCAGGGGAGAACGGAAUUCCUGGUGUAGCGGUGAAAUGCGCAGAUAUCAGGAGGAACACCGGUGGCGAAGGCGGUUCUCUGGGAAUGUCCUGACGCUGAGGAGCGAAAGUGUGGGGAGCGAACAGGAUUAGAUACCCCAGUAGUCCCUGUCUCUUAUAA
rnacentral:rRNA from 1 species